GCUACAAAGAGGUAAGAAGAAUUGAUAAAGACCAUUAGAUUUAUCAAUUAAGUCAUUAUUAACUACUUUGUAGAGAGCAAUUUGUGUUGAAUAAUGAGAUAAAAAUCCAAAAUGCUGAGACUUAAAAAGAUAGCUAAUAAUAUCUAACAUCUAUAUAGCACUUACUUUAUGCCAGACACCAUGCUAAGCACCUUAUAAUUAUUUUCUUAUUUGCUCCUCUUAUCAACUCUCAGAAGCAGAUGUUGUCACUCUCAUUCUAAACAGGAGGAAACUGAGGCAAAAAGAAGUCACAUGAAUUGCCCAGAGUCACAUAUCUAUAAGGAUCUGAGGCCAGAUUUGGACUUAUGUCUUCCUUACUCAAGGCUGGACCUUCUUUCUAUCCACUGGCCCACAUAUCCAAGGAAAUGAAAUGAAGUAGAGGUUAAAAAGAGAAGGCUGAGUUGAAUGAUUUGUUCAAAAAGACAUUCUAAAUAAAGGAGCAGUGACUAGAAUCUUUUCCUUCUAUGUAAAAUGUCAAUGAUGCUUCAAAAACUGUGAACUGAUAUUCUGGUAUGCCUUCACUUUAGAGGUAUGAAUUUUCCUCAAUCAAAUUUUCCUUAGUCUUAAUAAAACUUCUCUUUCAAA